rnacentral:lncRNA from 1 species
UGUGGAUCUGUUUUCUCUUUUCUGAAAGAAUACAGAGAUGUUUUGCUGGUUUCUCAGCAGGCCAUGUUAAAAGCAAAAUGGAUGCUUACUGUCCAGUUCAGAAUAAAAYAACUAGGCAUUCUCGGGGAACUGUAUCCUUAUGACAUGCUUCACAGCCCCUGACUGGAAAAAGCAAAAAGAAUAUUUAACCUUCAAAUAUGCAACAAUGCCCUAACUGGCAUGUAAAAUGCUGAUUUCACACCUGCCUACACACCUCCCUCUCAAACACUGACAUAACCCUCAUGUUCCCCAGAAGUUCCCGCUGCAACUCUUGCCGAAAGAACCCAGCAAAUCCAGAAUUCAGGCAUGUCACUGCAGAAUACUGUGACGCGCUUGAAUGAAACCCAAAGAAUCAUCCACUUUAUUGUAGAGAAUCUAUAAGCACCCAGGCCGAUUCUUGAAUCAACUMAGGAAAAGGCCUGCCCUCUUCAAAAAACACUAAGGAGCUAGACAAGCUUACUUCCAGCUGAGGGAAGCAUGUCAUACUGACUAUAAAACUUGUGAAAUUUAACAUGGUUGUGUUCACACGAACUGUGUAACUCUAACAUCCUAAAUUACUGUUCUCAUGGCACCAAUCCUACUCCACUUUCUGAGCCAGUAACAAAUCAGAAAAACACUACUGAAACAGAACAUAACAGGAGAAUUGCCUAUUUGUCUGUUUAGCCAUCCCCAUAUCCAUCCUAGGUACUUCUACAACGACCAUCUCUUUAUAGCUUACGUUCUCGGGACUGGAGACUAGAAGGAUUUGAGGCUUGUCAGAUGAUGACAUCAGGAUUGAAUUGCAGAGAUUUCUGCCUUCUGAAGUGCUACAAAAGUCAUUCUGGAAUUUCUUACUGCAAUUGUUUUUUUCUUCCCUGAUUGUUAGAGCCAGCUGCAGAGCCAACCACAUCUGGUUACUCCAAGUGCAGAGGCAAACGUAGCUAAGMGGUGGUGAUGAGAGUCUGGAUUUCACAGCGCCAGUUCCUGGUCUUGUCUGUCUAUCUGAUGAAGAUUGGUUUUGAAAUGCAUCCCAUCUCUGACUGGAGGGAAUGUGGCCAGGACAAGAGGCUUCCAGGGUUAAAAGCAGAUGAGUGUCUAUCCGAGUGAGUAUCCUCAAGUGUU